rnacentral:lncRNA from 1 species
CAAAUUAAGGUAAGUAACCUGUCUUAAUCUUAUUAUGGAUCAUGUAUCAUGUUUUAUAAGAUGAAAAAGUAUUAUUUAUGCAAUUGGAAUUAUGUAUAAAAAUUGUGGAAAAAGUACAUGAUAUAAUCUUAUGUUUUAUCAAAUACUUGUGAUUACUUGAUUAUGAAAUUGUAUAUGAUUAUUUAUGUUUUCACAAAAUUAAGAUCAAGCAUGUGUUAGCAAAUGAUUACAUGAUUUUGGAUACAUAGC